GGUGAACGCUGGCGGCGUGCUUAAGACAUGCAAGUCGAACGCAGUCUUCGGACUGAGUGGCGCACGGGUGAGUAACACGUAACUGACCUACCCCCCAAGUCGCGAAUAACUAGCCGAAAGGAUGGCUAAUACGUGAUGUGAUGAUAGGCUGUGGCGGAUCAUUAAAGACUUGAUUGCUCGGGGAUGGAGUUGCGUUCCAUCAGCUAGUUGGUAAGGUAAAGGCUUACCAAGGCAACGACGGAUUGCCGGCCUGAGAGGGUGGCCGGCCACAGGGGCACUGAGACACGGGUCCCACUCCUACGGGAGGCAGCAGUUAGGAAUCUUCCACAAUGGGCGCAAGCCUGAUGGAGCGACGCCGCGUGAGGGAUGAAGGUUCUCGGAUCGUAAACCUCUGAACCAACGACGAAAGACCCGACAAGGGAGAUGACGGUAGUUGGGUAAUAGCACCGGCUAACUCCGUGCCAGCAGCCGCCGUAACAC
rnacentral:rRNA from 1 species